rnacentral:rRNA from 1 species
UACGUAGGCAGCAAGCGUUGUUCGGAGUUACUGGGCGUAAAGGGUGUGUAGGCGGUUCUUUAAGUUUGGUGUGAAAUCUCCCGGCUCAACUGGGAGGGUGCGCCGAAUACUGAGGGACUAGAGUACGGGAGAGGAAAGUGGAAUUCCUGGUGUAGCGGUGAAAUGCGUAGAUAUCAGGAGGAACACCGGUGGUGUAGACGGCUUUCUGGACCGACACUGACGCUGAAACACGAAAGCGUGGGGAGCAAACGGG